UACGUAGGGGGCAAGCGGUUGUCCGGAUUUAUUGGGCGUAAAGAGCGUGUAGGCGGCCAGGUAGGUCCGUUGUGAAAACUGGAGGCUUAACCUCCAGCUGUCGAUGGAAACCAUCCUGGCUAGAGUCCGGAAGAGGAGAGUGGAAUUCCUGGUGUAGCGGUGAAAUGCGCAGAUAUCAGGAAGAACACCCGUGGCGAAGGCGGCCUCUCUGGGACGGUACCUGACGCUGAGACGCGAAAGCGUGGGAGCGAACAGGAUAGAUACCAG
rnacentral:rRNA from 1 species